rnacentral:rRNA from 1 species
UACGGAGGAUGCAAGCGUUAUCCGGAAUGAUUGGGCGUAAAGCGUCCGCAGGUGGCUAUGUAAGUCUGCUGUUAAAGAGUGAGGCUCAACCUCAUAAGAGCAGUGGAAACUACAUGGCUAAAGUGCGUUCGGGGCAGAGGGAAUUCCUGGUGUAGCGGUGAAAUGCGUAGAUAUCAGGAAGAACACCGGUGGCGAAAGCGCUCUGCUAGGCCGCAACUGACACUGAGGGACGAAAGCUAGGGGAGCGAAUGGG